rnacentral:lncRNA from 1 species
UUUUUUUUUUUUUUUUCCACUUUGUUGCUUACGCCAGUUCAGUUUUAGUCUGCACAGAAGGGCAGUAUAGUCUGGAGCAACUUGCAAGCAGUCUGGGCGGACUUGGAGCUAUCUUCCACCCCAAAAGACACUACUGGGAAUGAGCCAGAACAUCUUUAACUUGCAACACUUCAGGUCCUAAAUAAACUGAUUCACUACAAUAUCAAAAAGCAUCCUCAUGCCUUUACUUUGAACCAGAAUGAGCCAAGCUAAGGUUUCUGGGGCUGCAGAAUGAGAAACAGCCUCAAGACUGCGUGAGUAAGUGGUAGUCAUGGAAAUAGACUCACCAGAUUCAGGUUUUGCAUUGUCAAGUGCCUGCCACUAGAAAGCUGAAAUCAAACACAAUCUCAGUAUCUAUUUUGCAUUUAACAGUGCUCUUUUUACUCCAAAUGAUAGUUCAGUUCAGCUUCUUUGAUUCUCCAGGCUUAUUCUGAGAAGAUAAAAUAUCCUAACUCUAGAGAUAUUAAUGAUUUCCAGUCAAAUAUAUGGAGUUAAUUUAUGACUUAGCCUAAAAUGUACCCCAGUUCACACAAUACUUGCUCCAAAAAGCCUUGCUGAUUCUGUAUUAAUGGACAUGAACACCAUGGCAGAGUGCAUUUGCUAAAAUAUCCUAUUUGGAGAGAUAAGUUUCUGAUGUAUAAAAAGGUCUAUUUCCUCUCCCAACUACUAUUGUGUUUUGGAAAAAUUUAGGAAGCCUAUGUAUGUUAUUUUUCUGGUCCCCACAAGGAAAAAAAAAGUGGGAAGGUUAAGAACGGAGCCGCAUAUAGUCAAAGAGAAGAAAUGUUGUAAAUGCAGGGUCGUAAUUCUCUUCCUCCCUGAUUUUUAUGUUGUUUUUGUUCAAGUAUUUACCCACAAUGUUCAUUACUGCUUUACCUCUAAUCAUGCAUGUCAGGAACAAUGACAUUUAUAAGUGAUUUUAGCUGUAAAUAACAGAAAAUCCAAAUACAAGGAGGUUAAAAAAAGUUAUUUCUCAUCAUAACAAGAAAUCCAGAGAUAGGUCAUUGCUGGCAUUGGUGUUUAAAUGUUGAAUUUUCUCAAGGUCAAAGGCCCUGAAUUUUCUUGAUUUUUCCUUCUGGAUACUACAGCUCUAGACAUCUCACUGCUCACAAAGCAGAAAGGAUAGGCAAGAAAAUGUUACCAGUUUUGGCUGUCUUACCUUAUUUAUUAUUUUCCACUGUGCGACCCGCUUCAGUGCCUGCAGCCUACGGGCAAUGGUUCGGGGCCACGGUUUGCUGUGGCAUGGGACACUAUGAGAGGCCCAGGGGGACGAGCCUGUGUCCCACCUUAUUUGGAAGGUGGCAAUACAGUAUGUCUCCUUUCCUGCAACAUCCCCCUCAACCUCAGUAAUCGUCAGCUUCUUUCCUUUCCUGAUGGUUGAGAUGCUACAAGUCCUAGGUCCAAGUAAGAUGAGGAAGACAAAAUAUAUAGGAAUAUUUGGUUUCCCUAACCUAUAGCAGGCAAGCAGGAGGAAAAUUGGAAAUGAGUGUUGGCCUGCUGAGUUCUAGGGUCUGCCACAGUGAAAACCAGGAAACACCAAAAUGUCUGAGAAUACAAUAACGGAGUAUGAUAUGCCAUAUGAAUUCCAAGUGGCUGUUAAAAAAAAUUGUGGUACACAGGGGCACCUGGCUGGCUCAGUUGGAAGAGCUUGUGAUUCCUGAUCUUGGGGUCCUGUUCGAGCCCCAUGUUGUACUGGAACUAUCUAAAUAAAACUCAAAAAAAAAAUAUGGUGGUACAGAAGAAUACUUAGGUGCAUGCGAAGUUAUUCAUAAAAUGUUAUAAACCAAAAAAUUAACAUGUAAAACAAUAGAUAAGAAAACAUCAAAUUUGUUGGGGUAAAAAAGUUUGGACAGAUUUUUAAAAUUCAGACAUAUGCAAAAAAUUAAAAAACUGGAACUCAUAUUCUGACAAUGUUGACUUAGGCUGGGUUUUCUAGGAAACAGACUGCGAGACAGGGAUUUACAUGCAGGUGGUUUACUCAACAGUGUUCUCAGGAACAGCACCUAUGACAGAGGCAGGAUUAGGCAGGGGAAGGUAAACUGCAUGGCACUUGCCACAGAGGCUUUAACUGGUCCUAUGGGGAUUUCUAAAGCUGAAUGUCCCAGAUUGUUACGAUUGAUGAACUGUGCCUUUUAUCUCCACAACUGACCAUUGGAUUUGAGCUGCCCCAAGGGAGUGAAGAUAACCUAGCAUGAGGCAGUUUCCUUCACAGAAGGCAGUUUUGGAGAGAAAUCCAACUGUGAGUCAUCAGCAGCCAACACUCCUGGAAGCUGUAUCUUGGAAUCUGGGCAGCACACUACAGUAUCCACUAGAAAUGUCAACAACAAUUAUCUUUGGGUUUGGGGAUUAAGGUUGGUUUUCUCUCUUUUUUUAUAUUUUCCAGAUUUUCUACAACUAACACAGAAUUGUCUUAAGAAUUAAAUGAGUUAAUUCACAUGAAACACUUAGCACAAUUCUUGAAACCUAUUAAAUAUUCAAUAAAUUUAUAAUUAUUUAGAAACAUACACAUAAAACAUUAGAAAGAGAAAGCAUAAAUACGAAUAUUGUCAAGAAGAAAAUAUGAAAUAGGAUUAAAAUAAUAAUAGACCUUGCCACUCAUUUUGGCUUAUUUUGUUUUAUCCAUGAGAUUCUUUCUUAUGAUAUUGCUUCUUUCCAGCGUUUCAUUGAACUUUUUAUAAUGAUGAAAACUUUGGUAUCCGUACCAUCCAGUAUGGUAGCCACUAGCCAUGGGUGGCUACUGAGCAAUUGAAAUGUGGCUAAUGCAAAUGAAGAAGCAAAUUCCAAAUUUUAUUUAGUUUCAAUUCAUUUAAACGUAAAUAGCCACAUAUCGCUAGUGGUUACCAAAUAUUGGACAAUGCACCUCUAUACCAAUACUAAUACUAAUCAAUGGUUAAUUAGAGAACAGAUCUAAAAUAUUCUUUCUUUCUUUAAGCUUGGAUUAGUUUUGGAUUUUUUUGCAUGUCAACUGGGAUUUUUUUGGUCAGAUUUUUAUUUUUUUAAGACAUCAUUUUUUAAAGUAAUCUCUCCACCCAAUGUGUGGGGCUUGAACUCACAACCCUGAGAUCAAGUGUUGCAUGCUCUUCCAACUGAGAUAGCCAGGUGCCUCUGGCCAGAUUUUUAUUUACAUAUAACAAGGAAGGUGGUUUAGUUGAAAGUUAGGUGCUAAACAGCUGUAUAAUGUAUCACUAAUUGUCUGGUAUGUUUUAGUAAAUAAUCUGAAAAGAAAAUGAAGGAGAGGUGAAUCCCUGGGUGGCGCAGCGGUUUGGCGCCUGCCUUUGGCCCAGGGCGCGAUCCUGGAGACCCAGGAUCAAAUCCCACGUCGGGCGCAUAGAGCCUGCUUCUCCCUCUGCCUAUGUCUCUGCCCCUCUCUCUCUCUCUCUCUCUCUCUCUCUCUCUCUCUGUGUGUGACUAUCAUAAAUAAAUAAAAAAAGAAAAAGAAAGAAAAUGAAGGAGAUUGUUUCCUAUCAAAUAUCUGGUUCCUCUUGGUAAACUAAAAAAGACUUCUCACUGAAAUCAUACCUUUCAACCGUACUGUCAAUAUAGUGACGGAGAUACCUACAGCAACAACUUGAAAAUGCCUAAAUAACAAUGUGGAAGUCUCUUACCUCUCAAGUGGGAGGCAUGUGGAUGGGGAUGAGUCACUAAUAGCAGCUAUGAUCAAGGACGGAAAGAGACACAGAUCUUGGUUUGCAUCCCAGCCCUGUCAGUUACUGUGUGUACUUUGGACACAUUACUUAAUUAUUCCACAAUCAGAGGGUGAUAACUACGCCUUUCAAGGUUUGUUGGAAGAUUAGCGAUAUGUAAAGCACCUGGCACAUAAGUGCUAAAUCAAUGAGUUUUAUUAUUAUGCCAAUAUUUUGUCAAGAAAAUAGAACAGUACAAGGGAAGUGAGACCAAAUAAUAUAAAACCUGGGUAAUAAUUAACUGACAUAAUCAUUAAGUUGUAAGGUUACUUCUGGUAUAUGUUACUGUUAUGUCUAUUGACCACAUAAAAUUUAGUCCACUGUAUAUCAAAUAAAUGACAAGAAUAGAUGAAUGAUCACCUUGCCCUGUUCUCAAUGUUCCUUUGCCCCCAAAAUGGGUUGUUAUCACUAAAAUGGUGGGUUUUUUAAAACAAGAUUUAAUUUAUUUGAUAGAGAGACAGGGAGAGCACAAGCAGCGGGAAGCAGCAGGCAGAGGGAGAAGCAGGCUCCCCACCGAGCAGGGAGCUGGAUACAGGGCUCAAUCCCAGGACUCUGGGAUCAUGACCUGAGCCGAGUGGGCACUUAACCGACUGAGCCCCCCAGGCACCCCACUACAAUGGUUUUGUAACUGGUACCAUCACUAGGGAAAUUUUCAAAGAAGCUGUAAAGAGCAGUAUCAAAUCAAUAGUCUUGAACAGAAUUGUUUCUCAAGACUUAAUAGGAGAGAUCAUGGCUGAAAUUAAAAUACAAAUUUUUUAAAGAUUUUAUUUAUUUAUUCAUGAGAGACAGAGAGAGAGAAUGAGAGAGAGAGAGAGAGAGAGG